AUUGAACGCUGGCGGCAGGCUUAACACAUGCAAGUCGAGCGAGCGGCGGACGGGUGAGUAAUGUAUGGGGACUGCCCGAUAGAGGGGGAUAACUACUGGAAACGGUAGCUAAUACCGCAUACUAUCCGAUAACUCAUAUGGGAUGAGCUAGUAGGUGGGGUAAUGGCUCACCUAGGCGAAGAUACCUAGCUGGUCUGAGUGGAUGAUCAGGCCGGAUGGAGCGGAGGCGCGGCCGAGACUCCAAUGGAGACAGCAGUGGGGACUAUUGCAGGCUGGGGGCGGGACUAUUGCGGCAAUGCCGCGUGUAUGAACAAGGCACGAGGGGUGAAGAAUGCUUGCAGUCGGAAGGCGUUACCGACAGAAGAAGCACCGGCUAACUCCGUGCCAGCAGCCGCGGUAAUAC
rnacentral:rRNA from 1 species